UGCUCGUUGUGACCCUGUGGUUGUCUGUUUUUCCCUACUCCAGUGUGGGUCCCACCAGGUGGCAUCCCUUCCACCUGUACAGCUUCCCCAGGACUGAGCUUGGCAAUGUAUGCAUGGACCACUGAUGACGCUCUUCUAGCCAUGAGGAACACAGGAACAAGUACGAGGAUUAAGGUCCAUUCCAAGACUUCCUCUUUCAGGUUUUGGGACUCUGGAAAAGUUACUGAGCCAUCUCAAGUCAAAGAUGAGGACAAUAUCCCCUAAGGCAUUUCUUCUGUGUGCGCUCCUGCAGGCACGCACGCACGUACACGAUUAUAACAAAUCUCUGAGGAUUAACCAAAUGACCACCGGGAUCUGUCUUUUCUUCUUAUAUUUAUUUAUUAUACGUGUGGAGAUCAGAAGACCGCUUGCAAGAAUCAGUUUUCCCCUUCAGCCAUGUUGGUAUGGGUAAAUGGAACUCAAGCUGUCAGGCUUGGAAGUAGGUGGAUCUCCGUAAAUGUGAGGCCAGCCUGGUCUACAGGUGGAGUUCCAGGAUAGCCAGGGCUAUACAGAGAAAUCCUGUCUCAAAAAACAUAACCUGAAUGUUGUGUGUAAGUUAUUAAAUACACAGACAAAA